UCCAAACCCAGUCCAGGUAAUCCAGAUAGAGCUGAGGACUGUGCUUAAGCUCUCUAUGCCAGCUCUGAGACAAGGAUAAGGUAGAAGGGGGAAGGGUCUUGCUUGAAGGUCCCUCACGGUUUCCCUAGAAAUGGUAGAUCUUAAGCCUCCCCACAAGGUAACAGCAGACCCCAGGCUUUCUAGGCUAACUAUGUGAUGUUCAAGUCUUCCUUCUCCUGUAUCCAGGCAACCAGAUGCCCCAGGAGAAUUCCCAACACUGCAAAGCUACAAUCACGUGCAACUCUUCCAAAGCCGUGCUGUGUUA
rnacentral:lncRNA from 1 species